ACCUGGGUGGCUCAGUUGGUUGAGCGUCUGACUUUGGCUCAUGUCAUUAUCUCGCAGCUCGUGAGUUCGAGCCUCACGUCGGGCU
rnacentral:tRNA from 1 species